rnacentral:rRNA from 1 species
UACGGGGGGGCAAGCGUUGUUCGGAAUUACUGGGCGUAAAGGGCUCGUAGGCGGCCAACUAAGUCGGAUGUGAAAUCCCCAGGCUUAACCUGGGAACUGCAUCCGAUACUGGAUGGCUUGAAUCCGGGAGAGGGAUGCAGAAUUCCAGGUGUAGCGGUGAAAUGCGUAGAUAUCUGGAGGAAUACCGGUGGCGAAGGCGACUACCUGGCCUGUUUCUUGACGCUGAGGCGCGAAAGCUAGGGGAGCAAACGGG